ensembl:lncRNA
AUGGAAAAUAAAACAGUACAUGAGAUAAACGGGAUAAAAAAUGAUAGUUUGAAUUUACUAAUGAAUAAAGAUAAAGAAAAUAAAACUAGUAGCAAUAGCAAUAGCAGUACCAACAACAACAAUAGUAGUAGUAGUAGUAGUAGUAGUAGUAAUAACACCAAACAGAAUAGUCGAAUAAAAUUAAUGGCUAUACCACAAACAGUAAAGGAUGUUAUAGAAAUAAUAAACAUAGGGAAAUUAAUUAAUAUAAAUGAUGAUAUUGCAAUAAUACAAGCAACUCCAUGUAGUAAAUAUUACAUAAGUGUAUCUUCUAUUUUAUGUUUGAAGAAUCGUAAAAUUUUUGGCUAUGUUAUUAACACAACUUCGAAUACUACCGAUGUAUUUUAUCAUGCCAAGAUUUCUUUUAAUCAUAUGAAAACCGAAUUAAAAGAAAAUAUGGAAAUAUAUGUAGAUUCCAAACAUUAUAUAUAUAUGAAUGUAGGUACAAGUUUAUGCUCUGAAUUAUUUAAAGUAAUAAACAAUCCAGAAAUACCAUGUGUUUUUAUUAAUUAUAAUGAUUUAUAUGGUAUUGCUGAUGCACAAUUAUCACAACAAAGUCAUGAUGAUGAUUUAUUAAAUAUAGAAAAUAAUAAUACCACCACAAUAAAUAAUGCGAAAACAAAUAAAAUAAAUAAAACGAAUAAAAUAAAUAAUAUAAACAAAAUAAAUAAAACAAAUAAAACGAAUAAAAUAAAUAAUAUAAACAAAACAAACAAAACAAACAAAAUAAAUAAAACAAACAAAAUAAAUAAAACAAACAAAAUAAACAAAAUAAAUAAAACAAACAAAAUAAAUAAAACAAAUAAAACAAAUAUGUUACUUCAUAAUCCGACAAAGUUACCAAUGGAACCGAUAUUAACACAUUUUGGAACUAAUACAAAUAUGCAAUUGUUUUUUACUAAUAAAAAAUAUCAUUCAUAUGAUACUACUACAAUGAAUAAAUCACAUAAUACAAAAUAUAUAAAACCAUAUAAUAACAUAGGUUAUUAUAAAAAUAAAAUAAAUGGAAAUUAUAUUAAUAAGACGUUUUUAAACGAAAAUAAAAAUCCUACAUUUUUUAAUAAUUUAUCAUAUAUAAAGGAUGCUAAAAUAAGCAAUAAAAAUAUAAAUUUUAACAAAAACUUUAUUAAUAAUAUAUCUCAUGGUAGUAUACAACAAAUGAGUAAAAUAUUAUAUAACCAUACAAAUAAUAGUGUUAUUAAUAAAAAUAAAUUAGAUGAUACAUAUAAAACCAACAGAACAAAUAAUAAUAUUAUUAAUCAUGGUAAUACAUAUAUAACAUAUAUGAAUAAACAAUUUAAUUCUAUUCCAUACAAUAUUAAUAAUAAUAUAAAUACUAGUCCAUAUUCAAAUUUUUUCAACAAAUCCAAUGGCAGCACAAUAAAUUAUACACCAAAUAUGGAAAUAAAUGGAACACCUUUAACUAAUCAUACCGUUAAUAACAUGUGCAAUAUGUGCAACAUGCAAUUAAAUCAUUACUCAAAUGUUAUAAACAGUAAUAAUAAUAGUAAUAAUAAUAACAUACCAAGUGCUUUAAAAAAUAUAAUAAAUACAUCUACUUUAAAUCUUAAUAAUAUAAAUGAUACUAUGAUUGGUAAAGUUUUGACAAAUAAUGGGCAAAUUGCAUGCAAUAUAAGAACCAAUACAAAUAUAAAUAACCAAAACAGCAACCCCUGUUUUUUUUUUACCACCAUAUAA